rnacentral:rRNA from 1 species
GCCCUACCGUAAAAUAUUAACUUACCAACACGCCGGGGUAUUACGAGCCUAGCUUAAACCCAAAGGACUUGACGGUGUCCCAUCCAACUAGAGGAGCCUGUUCUAUAAUCGAUAAUCCCCGAUACACCUAACCCCAUUUUGCAAAUCAGCCUGUAUACCUCCGUCGCAAGCUUACCAUAUGAAUGCUUAUAGUAAGUUUAAUGGUCAUACACCAACACGUCAGGUCAAGGUGCAGCUCAUGAUAGGGUAAGCAAUGGGCUACAGUUUCUAAUAUAGAAUAUACGAAAUGCUGUAUGAAACACAGACAUGAAGGCGGAUUUAGCAGUAAAAACGAAACAAUAUGUCCUUUUUAACAAGGCCCUGGGACGUGUACACACCGCCCGUCACCCUCUUCAAUAGUAUAAAACGUUUUUUACAACCUACCACAUUCUAGAAGAGGCAAGUCGUAACAUGGUAAGCGUACCGGAAGGUGCGCUUGGAUCAUCAAAAUAUAGCUUAAGCAAAGCCUCUCGCUUACACCGAGAAGAUGUCCGUGAAAAACAGACUAUUUUGAACCUAAAAUUAAGCCUAAUCUCAACUAAUGUAACACAACCAUAAUAAACCCUAAGUAAAACAUUUUAACAAUUUAGUAAAGGUGAUUGAAAGACUUAUUAGCGCUUUACUAUAAGUACCGCAAGGGAAAAAUGAAAUAGCUUUGAAAUAGACCUUAAGUAAAACACAGCAGAGACCACCUCUCG